rnacentral:rRNA from 1 species
CCUACGGGAGGCUGCAGUAGGGAAUCUUCGUCAAUGGGCGCAAGCCUGAACGAGCAAUGCCGCGUGAACGAGGAAGGUCUUCGGAUCGUAAAGUUCUGUUGAAGGGGAAAAAGAGCGGGGAGAGGAAAUGCUUUCUGAUUGAUAUUACCCUUCGAGGAAGUCACGGCUAACUACGUGCCAGCAGCCGCGGUCAUACGUAGGUGGCGAGCGUUAUCCGGAAUGAUGGGGCGGAAAGGGUGCGUAGGCGGCCUGCUUAGCCUGGAGUGAAAGGUGCCGGCUCAACCGGUACAGGCUCUGGGAGGUGGCGGGCUAGAGAGCAGGAGAGGGCGGUGGAACUCCAGGUGUAGCGGUAAAAUGCGGAGAUAUAUGGAAGAACACCAGUGGCGAAGGCGGCCGCCUGGCCUGUUACUGACGCUGAGGCACGAAAGCGUGGGGAGCAAAUAGGAUUAGAUACCCGAGUAGUC